UGCAGUCGAGCGGGGAAAGGUAGCUUGCUACCUAACUUAGCGGCGGACGGGUGAGUAAUGCUUAGGAAUCUGCCUAUUAGUGGGGGACAACAUUUCGAAAGGAAUGCUAAUACCGCAUACGCCCUACGGGGGAAAGCAGGGGAUCUUCGGACCUUGCGCUAAUAGAUGAGCCUAAGUCGGAUUAGCUAGUUGGUGGGGUAAAGGCCUACCAAGGCGACGAUCUGUAGCGGGUCUGAGAGGAUGAUCCGCCACACUGGGACUGAGACACGGCCCAGACUCCUACGGGAGGCAGCAGUGGGGAAUAUUGGACAAUGGGGGGAACCCUGAUCCAGCCAUGCCGCGUGUGUGAAGAAGGCCUUUUGGUUGUAAAGCACUUUAAGCGAGGAGGAGGAGCUCUAGACUAAUACUCUAGAUGCUUGGACGUUACUCGCAGAAUAAGCACCGGCUAACUCUGUGCCAGCAGCCGCGGUAAUACAGAGGGUGCAAGCGUUAAUCGGAUUUACUGGGCGUAAAGCGUGCGUAGGUGGCCAAUUAAGUCAAAUGUGAAAUCCCCGAGCUUAACUUGGGAAUUGCAUUCGAUACUGGUUGGCUAGAGUAUGGGAGAGGAUGGUAGAAUUCCAGGUGUAGCGGUGAAAUGCGUAGAGAUCUGGAGGAAUACCGAUGGCGAAGGCAGCCAUCUGGCCUAAUACUGACACUGAGGUACGAAAGCAUGGGGAGCAAACAGGAUUAGAUACCCUGGUAGUCCAUGCCGUAAACGAUGUCUACUAGCCGUUGGGGUCUUUGAGACUUUAGUGGCGCAGCUAACGCGAUAAGUAGACCGCCUGGGGAGUACGGUCGCAAGACUAAA
rnacentral:rRNA from 1 species